UACGUAGGGUGCGAGCGUUGUCCGGAAUUACUGGGCGUAAAGAGCUUGUAGGUGGUUUGUCGCGUUGUUCGUGAAAUCUCACGGCUUAACUGUGAGCGUGCGGGCGAUACGGGCAGACUAGAAGUACUGCAGGGGGAGACUGGAAUUCCUGGUGUAGCGGUGGAAAUGCGCAGAUAUCAGGAGGAACACCGGUGGCGAAGG
rnacentral:rRNA from 1 species